rnacentral:lncRNA from 1 species
GGGGCCCUAAACACUAAAUGCAUGAGCUCUUGGCUAAUAAAAUAGAUGAAGUGAUGUGGUGAUCCGACAAAAAAGCAUGUUGCUCAAGGGAGAUUAGAAAGGGAAGGAUUAGCUUUAGUCUAUUAACAAGUAUCUUUGCUAUAAUUUUAUACAAAAUAUUACAAAGAGUAAUAGAUCGAUAAUCUGAAGGAUAUUAGGGACU